rnacentral:lncRNA from 1 species
GCUAGAGUAUACAGGAUGGGAAAGACUGGAAGGGGCUCCAUCUAUUAUGUAUGGCUUUAUGGAAGCCAUCUUCCAUGAGAUGUGAGGAUUUUCCACUGUAGCCAUUAUGGGGUUACCCAUAUUCCUGUGAAAAACUACUUACUGUGUUCUCUAAGCAAGCCCAAUAAACUCAUUGGUUCCCAGGAUGAAAUUUGGUGGACUCUGGUUUGUAAUUGGAUACAUUGGAUUUUAACAACAACCACCUAAUGUUGGAAGGUCCUCUUCAUGAUACCAAAGAAAAAAUAAAAAGCACAGAGAUCCAGAACUGAGCAAUGUGCAGAGUACAAAAGACUUUGGAGGGCUCAGUUCUAAGUAGAAUGUGUUCCUGAAAACUCUCCCCUCGGAUUUCUCCCAGAUUCUUACCCACCUUGGUAUGUAUGUAUGUAUGUAUGUAUGUAUGUAUGUAUGUAUGUAUGUAUGUGUGUAUGUAUGUGUAUGUUUAAAGAAAGCACCUUCUUACAUCAUAUAUUCUAGUCCUCUGGCUCUUAUUGUCUCUCCACCACCUCUUUCACACUGUAUCUUGAUACCUAGGUCACUGUAGGUUAUAUAGUAGUAUCUUUUUAUGAACAGAAAAAAAUUAAUUUUGAUGAAGUUAAUCCCAGUGUUAUUUGUUUUCCAAUUCUGUAAUUCAUCUCAAAUUAAUUUUUGUAUAUAGAGUGAUAGAAGAGUUGAAGUUUAUCAUUCUUUCACAUUGUUCAAAUCCUUAGUUACUGUCCUGGUGCUAUGAAGAGACAUCAUGUCCAAGGCAACUGAUAUUAAAUAAUUUUAAUUGUGGCCUUGCUUACGUCUCAGAGUCCAUGACAAUGUUGGUGAAAAGCAUGGCAGCGGGCAUUCUUGUUGCUGUAGUGGUAACUGAGAACUUACAUCCUGAUCCAGGCAAGAGGCAGGAGGCCAACACUGGCUCACAUGUACACCUCUUCUGACAAGACUGCACCUACUAAUCCUUCCCAAAAUGCUCACCAGCCAGGGACCAAACAUUCAGAUAUGUGAGCAUGUGGGGGCCAUUCUCAUUCAGACCACCGCAGAUGCAUAGGCAGCUUUGCAGCACCCGUCAUUUAAAGGCCUUUCCUUUCCC